AGGAGCUCACUACAGGGACAGCGAGAGGGCAGGAAGCCCAGUGCCUCUUGGACGGCUGAGGAGGUGGACACACAGAUUGGCUCCACCAGACAGACUGCGGAGUGGGAGCCAAGCCCUGGCCCUGCCAUGCAGGGUCUCUGCAGCCUCCUCCUCCUCUGCGGGGCAGCGAGAUGGGCCCUGGCCCAGGUGUCCCAGCCACCCCGGCUCACGGCGCUGGAAGGAGGACGGCUCCACAUCUCCUGCAACCACAACAUCACCCCACAUCAGAGGAUGUACUGGUACCGGCAGCCCCCGCAGGGUCAGGGGGCCCCGAUCUUCCUGGGGAGCGGGUACGAUGGGACCUCGCCCGCAGGGGAACUCACCAUGGAAGUGUACCUGGCCUCCCGCUCCAGCACCCUCUCCCGGGACGGUGCCAGGCUGCAGGAUGCUGGCAUCUACUACUGCGCCACAGAGGACACAGUGACAGGGGUGGAGGCACCAGCUGCAUCAAAACCCCCGGCCCGACUUCCUGCCCCGUGCACCCAGGGCACAUGCUGUUGGCUGCUGCCCUGACUCCCCUCCCACA